AUGGCCACCUGGCAGCCUUUGAAAGUUGCUCUAAUGAGCUGGGUGACAUGCCCUUCUCACAAGCCCUCUCAUGAACCACUCCUUCCUGCUUCCACAGAAACAGAUACAAGAAUUGUCAACAUGAACUUGGAGGCUGAGAAUCACAGAAUAAUUAAUUUUCCAACAGGAAGAGCUCAUAGAAACCUGAUGAUCCUCUACCCAAUAUGAUUCGAAACUCAUAUGCCCCCUUUUACCUGGAAAGAUAAAGUGAGUCAUGUCAGGUGAAUGGCAAAUUAUUGUCAGUAAAUCCAAUGGUCUUGGGGAAUAUAUCCCCAGCCUGGGGUGAAAUAUUAGACUCAUUAAACUGACAAUAUACUGUAAAAAAUCCUAGAAGUAGAUGACAAUGAGUUAUGACAAUUCAGUAUCCAGUUCUGUUGACAGAGUUCAGUCUUUCUGCUUGCCAUAUAAAUUUACUUCAUUGAAGCAUAGAUACAGUAGCAAAAUUUUUUCUUCUUGACAGGCCAUGAUUCUAGUCAACUAAGGUCAUCACAGAAAUUCUCUUCCAUAAGCCUGAGUGAAGGAAGAGGAAGUAAGACACAGUAGGAAUGGCUUUAAUCUGAAUCUGCUUCUAAGGUUCUCUGUUUUCUAUUCAUUUAAUUGCCUAGCAUCACAAACCAAUGGCCUGUCUGGGGAAUAGCAUUCUCUAGACAUUAAUACUAUUAAGAGACAAGAUUGUGGGGCAAUUCUGGAUAAUUAUUAAAUGGCAGUUCUUGGCAUAAAAUCUUCAGGUGGAUAGAAUACAUCUGACAAUAUACUGUCACUUGGUGAAAUUUGUCCCCAAAACCUCUAUCCAAAGUUCCAAAUACUAAAUUGCACUGCACACACUUCUUGUGAUCUUUGCCUCAACUUUCAAAAUUACUCAGCAUAAUUAGUUGCUUUGAGAUACUUGUCAACUAUUUUUUCUUUAUGGAUAAAAAGCUACAGUACCACCAAUAUAGUAGAUGAUGCUGAUUAUUGAAAAUGUUCUUUAUGAUGAUGAGACAAAAAAGAAAUUACCAAAUUUGUAAAAUACUUUAUAUAUUGUCUUCAUUGUAUUUUCUUUUUGAGGAAUAAUGGAAAAUAGUAUCUAUGAAUUUUUAACAAACUACAUUAAUUUUUACUUUCAAUUAUAAUUAAUUUCUAUAAGAAUACUAUCAAAAUAUUUACAUGUGACUAAUAUCGGAUAGAC
rnacentral:lncRNA from 1 species